rnacentral:rRNA from 1 species
AAUAGAUACCCAGGUAGUCCAUGCCGUAAACGUUGGGAACUAGAUGUAGGGCCUGUUCCACGGGUUCUGUGUCGCAGCUAACGCAUUAAGUUCCCCGCCUGGGGAGUACGGCCGCAAGGCUAAAACUCAAAGGAAUUGACGGGGGCCCGCACAAGCGGCGGAGCAUGCGGAUUAAUUCGAUGCAACGCGAAGAACCUUACCAAGGCUUGACAUACACCAGAAUGGGCCAGAAAUGGUCAACUCUUUGGACACUGGUGUACAGGUGGUGCAUGGUUGUCGUCAGCUCGUGUCGUGAGAUGUUCGGUUAAGUCCGGCAACGAGCGCAACCCUCGUCCUAUGUUGCCAGCACGUUAUGGUGGGAACUCAUGGGAUACUGCCGUGGUCAACACGGAGGAAGGUGGGGAUGACGUCAAAUCAUCAUGCCCCUUAUGUCUUGGGCUUCACGCAUGCUACAAUGGCCGGUACAAUGGGCGGCGAUACCGUGAGGUGGAGCGAAUCCCAAAAAGCCGGUCUCAGUUCGGAUUGGUGU